AAAAUCGGAAAGGGAGAACUGCUAACCCUAACUUCAGAAAUUGAAAAGGUGAUUGAUUGAUCAAAGGCGAAGAAUCGCCAAAAACAAUCGAAUCACCAAAGGUUAGAAAAUGGGAAACGCCGAGAAAUUGAUGAAUCAGAUCAUGGAGCUCAAGUUCACAUCGAAGAGUCUCCAACGCCAAGCCCGAAAAUGCGAGAAAGACGAAAAGUCUGAGAAGCUUAAGGUCAAGAAGGCCAUCGAGAAAGGUAACAUGGACGGCGCUAGAAUUUAUGCUGAAAACGCCAUCCGCAAGCGCAGCGAACAGAUGAACUAUCUCCGUCUCUCCUCUCGCCUUGACGCCGUUGUGGCUCGUCUGGAUACUCAGGCGAAGAUGACGACAAUCAGCAAGUCAAUGUCCUCGAUCGUCAAAUCACUGGAGUCUUCACUCAACACAGGGAAUCUACAGAAAAUGUCAGAGACGAUGGAUUCAUUCGAGCGUCAGUUUGUGAAUAUGGAGGUUCAAGCUGAAUUUAUGGAGAGUUCUAUGGCUGGAAGUACUUCCUUAUCGACCCCAGAGGACCAGGUGGGCAGCCUGAUGCAACAGGUGGCUGAUGACUAUGGACUCGAGGUGUCCGUGGGGCUUCCGCAAGCAGCGGGCCAUGCUAUAUCUUCUAAGGACGAGGAGAAGGUCAGUGAGGAUGAUCUGUCCAGGCGUCUUGCCGAGCUCAAGGCGCGUGGGUAAUUGAGAAACUGAAGAUUCUUCUGUUAAUAUAGAACCUUUGGUAUUGGUGUAAUGUGAUACAGUAUGUGGAGUUUUAUCUGUUGCAUACAUUAAGAUUGAACACUUCUAUGUACAUUUUACUCUCUUGUGAUUGUGUAGUCAAUUUGCUUUACCAAUU
rnacentral:misc_RNA from 1 species